rnacentral:miRNA from 1 species
UGCGUCAUAAACUUCCCAUAU